UUGCUCCCCACCCGGAAGCUUUGCUUUUAAAACUCUAAUUCAAACAUUCACAAAACCCAAUUCGAAAACCUUUUGAAAACUGUUUCCCACACGGAAACUCUAUUUUGAAAAUCGACUACCUCGAGGGGUAGAAAACCAUAAUGUAUAAAUCCGUAAAUAUAUAAAUCGAUAAUCAACUAUCCAUAAAACCAAAACCAAGAAUCCGCAAAUCUCUAAUCUCAUAUCCACAAUCUCAUGUAGAGGAGGAAAACCAACUCAUUCAAACAUUCAAACAUCAGUAAUGAUUAUCUAACUGAACCAUUUAUUAUU
rnacentral:lncRNA from 1 species